GAUGAACGCUGGCGGCGUGCCUAAUACAUGCAAGUCGAGCGAAUGGAUUAAGAGCUUGCUCUUAUGAAGUUAGCGGCGGACGGGUGAGUAACACGUGGGUAACCUGCCCAUAAGACUGGGAUAACUCCGGGAAACCGGGGCUACUACCGGAUAACAUUUUGAACCGCAUGGUUCGAAAUUGAAAGGCGGCUUCGGCUGUCACUUAUGGAUGGACCAGCGUCGCAUUAGCUAGUUGGUGAGGUAACGGCUCACCAAGGCAACGGUGCGUAGCCGACCUGAGAGGGUGAUCGGCCACACUGGGACUGAGACACGGCCCAGACUCCUACGGGAGGCAGCAGUAGGGAAUAUUCCGCAAUGGACGAAAGUCUGACGGAGCAACGCCGCGUGAGUGAUGAAGGCUUUCGGGUCGUAAAACUCUGUUGUUAGGGAAGAACAAGUGCUAGUUGAAUAAGCUGGCACCUUGACGGUACCUAACCAGAAAGCCACGGCUAACUACGUGCCAGCCGCCGCCGUAA
rnacentral:rRNA from 1 species